CCUACGGUGGGCAGCAGUGAGGAAUAUUGGUCAAUGGACGAGAGUCUGAACCAGCCAAGUAGCGUGAAGGAUGACUGCCCUAUGGGUUGUAAACUUCUUUUAUAAAGGAAUAAAACGAGGCACGUGUGCCUUUUUGCAUGUACUUUAUGAAUAAGGAUCGGCUAACUCCGUGCCAGCAGCAGCGGUAAUACGGAUGAUCCGAGCGUUAUCCGGAUUUAUUGGGUUUAAAGGGAGCGUAGAUGGGUUGUUAAGUCAGUUGUGAAAGUGUGCGGAUCAACCGUAAAAUUUCAAUUGAUAAUGGCAGUCUUGAGUACAGUUGAGGUAGGCGGAAUUCGUGGUGUAGCGGUGAAAUGCUUAGAUAUCACGAAGAACCCCGAUUGCGAAGGCAGCUUAUUAAACUGUGACUGACAUUGAUGCUCGAAAGUGUGGGUAUCAAACAGGAUUAGAUACCCCUGUAGUC
rnacentral:rRNA from 1 species